GAUGAACGCUGGCGGCGUGCCUAAUACAUGCAAGUCGAGCGAACAGACGAGGAGCUUGCUCCUCUGACGUUAGCGGCGGACGGGUGAGUAACACGUGGAUAACCUACCUAUAAGACUGGGAUAACUUCGGGAAACCGGAGCUAAUACCGGAUAACAUGUUGAACCGCAUGGUUCAACAGUGAAAGACGGUCUUGCUGUCACUUAUAGAUGGAUCCGCGCCGCAUUAGCUAGUUGGUAAGGUAACGGCUUACCAAGGCAACGAUGCGUAGCCGACCUGAGAGGGUGGUCGGCGACCCUGGAACGGGACCACGGUCCAGACUCCUACGGGAGGCAGCAGUAGGGAAUCUUCCGCAAUGGGCGAAAGCCUGACGGAGCAACGCCGCGUGAGUUAAGAAAGUCUUCGGAUCGUAAAACUCUGUUAUUAGGGAAGAACAAAUGUGUAAGUAACUAUGCACGUCUUGACGGUACCUAAUCAGAAAGCCACGGCUAACUACGUG
rnacentral:rRNA from 1 species